CCUUGUCAUGUCAAUAUAUGUAAAAUCUAACAAAACUUGUUCUGAUUGCAGGAACACCGGACAAAAGAAGAUCUUCCUGAAUGAUAUUUUAUCAAGAAAAGAAAAUGUGAUUCUCCAAAUAAAUAAUCAAGAACGGAGAAACAAUAAAUAUUCAAUUCUUCAUGUUGCAGAAGUUGAAUACAAGAAUGUAAACCUCACUUGAAACCAUGGGCACCAACCUGCUUAUCCAAGAAUACCUGCCCUGAGUCAAGAUAAACCAGAGCAUUAAAAGGCAGAGUUACGACUCUGAUAUCUGGAAACAGCUGAACCCAAUCCAGAUACAGUCACAAUCACGCUAACCUGUGACUGAGGGUUCGACCGCAGG